AUUUAUGAGAAGUUAUUUCCUUUCAAGAAAAAGGACUUACAGUCAACAAGAUUCCUUGUAUGCUAACCCGUUAUUGGCUGCUACCCUUGAAUCUCCACAUUUGUCAACACUAAAAAAAGAGGUUAAAUAUUGUGUUCAUGCCUAUCAUCAUUAUGUUGCCUAUAAGACCAAAUGUGGGGCAUCUGGUUAUCCCUCCAAAAUAAGGCAAUGACCACACGUUCAACGCGGAUCAUUCGUUCUGUCGACUUGACUCAUUCCAUCUUCUGGAUUGCUUAGGAAAGCUGAUUGGUGUUACCUGUCAUUUAGGUAAUGACCGAGAAGAUGCGGCCUACAUGAACAUCAUUUAGGCGGCCAGCAUCAUUCGACUACCCAAUCGGCUUCUACUACCCUGCUCUCAACAUAGCACGGAGUUUUACCCUUUAGAUUUCUUGGCUGUUCGCGAAUCGCGAUGUGUGAUGGCAUUUCCUUGGACGAGAUGAUGAUUUUGGCGAGAAAAAUAUUGCGUUCUAACCUUCAGGUUCCUAAAUUUGCAUGACAGACUUUAUGACUGAGAAGUAAUGUUCUUUCAAGAAAAUCAACAAGGUCCCUAGUUUGCUAACCCAAUUGCUGCUACCCUUGAAUCUCCUUAUUAAGCUCCUUACACAGUCCCUCUUGAUUUGAGGGUAAUCCUUCGCUACUGAUCAUGGACUCCAUUGGUGAAACUGAAAAUCAACGAGAG